ensembl:lncRNA
UUAUUUGUAAUUCAAUACUUUUUUCUUUUAAUUCAUACUGUACUUCCAUGGCUCUAGCUACUUUACAUUAAGAUUUGGCUGGGUAGCCUUGUAUGUUUCUAGGUACUAGCAGUAAGUUUUCAGACCUUGCGCACAGCGCCAGGCAAAGUACAGUUACAGAUCCAAAUACAGACGGCCAGACAACUCAACUGCAAUAGACCUGUGUUCUUUCCUGUAUAUAUGGCCCAGUUCAGGUGUUGGGGGCUGUUCCCUCUGCCUCACCCACUCCAACCCAUGUCAGGAUUAUGUAGGGCCUGAUAUGGCCUCUGAUCCAUCCCUCCCCACCUUGGAGCCUAAGUUGAGGGGUGGGGGGGAAGCACCAUGGGUUUGGGAAGAUGGUCUGGUCCAUGCAGAGAGUGGUCUGGCCCUAGAGUGCUGGGCAAGAAAAUGUGGGGAGCCACAUUCUUUUGUUGGCAAAAAUGGUUACUUUUACUGUGCAGUCUCUGCACAUGGCAACCAAGCCCAGGGCCAACUGCCCAGACAAAGCCAGCUGUCCUGCCUGAGGCAUGCACUGCCAUUUUGCUUCUGCAAUGUCUUAUUGUGUUGAGAGAAGCAAGGAGGGCCAGGGGGCAGAGAUGACAAAGUCCUUCAAGCCUUCAUAUGUUGGGGAGAUCAUCUGGCAUCAACAAAUCUUGGCAGGCAAGGUGCUUCUCACCAGGAGCCAAAGCUUCCAAUCUGGACUCCCAGGCCUGCUGAGGACCUCGAGUCUCAAGACCCCUGAGCUGUUGCACAGAACAUCAAAACAGGGAGCUGGCUGGGCCCAUCACAGCCAUGGCCGGAGCAGGAGUGAGGUAACAAGGCUGGGCAGAGAGGUGGGAAGGGGAGCUCUCUACACCAUGUGCAAAUUCCUGCUCCACAUCAGGAAAGCAGGGGUGUUGAAAGAUGGCCUUCCAGAAAUAUACUCCUUGUAGACCCAAAAUGCAUCUUCUGGAAGAAGACACAGAGGUGAGAGGGAGUGGGGCCAGCCUGCUGGAGAUUGGGUGAGGAAGGAUCUAGAAUGUCAAGGGAUGAUUGUCCCACAGUCUACAGACUAGGGAUGGGGAGGAAAGGGGUCAGGGAGAGGCCUUUGCAAUUCUUACUGCAGUGGAGAGGUGGGGUCCAGGAGUUCUAAGAGGGAGACCACAGCCCUGCCAUGGAGGGGAAGAGAGGAGAGUGCUACUUCUCCUGGGGGCCCUAGCAGGAAUGGGCUGGCUUUGGCUACCCUGCAGAGCCAAAGAAGUGGUAUCAUAUGGCACAGAAAGGACCUUUCUGGGACCACAAACAGUCCAGAAAGAUUCUGCCUCUAGUCAUUUCUCCAAGAUCUCAUCUUAGAGAUGCUGCCUGCAAAUACCAUAGGUACAGUCCAAGUGUGGGGACAGGGAUGGGACAUGGAGAGAAUCCACUUCUAGCAAAGAGUUCCUCUUAAGGGCUCUUGAUCGUCCCUACUCCUUGUAAUCCCAGGUUCUUAGUGCCAGUGCCCUUGGGCCAUCCAAGGACUUUCUCUAAACCCCAGCAGGGUUUUGGUUGAGCAAAAAAAAAGUGCUAAACCAGAAAGGGCUUCUCUCCACUGUGCCCUCUGUCAAUGAGGAGCAAGAAUAGAUAGAUGAAAGGCUUCACAGUGCCUACAGAUGGAAGAUAGGCUCAGUCCAAGAUGCUGCUCUUCUUACCAUCAUUCUCUUCCUUCUAGCUUAGCAGAAGUUCCCUUCCCAAACAAAAACUAAGCCAAAGAAGGAACAAACACUCCUAGGUUAAUACUGAGCAACAUUCUCUCUAACACUGGGCCUUUCUAUCCCUCCUCAACCCUAAGAACAAAGUCUAACUAGCUUAGGUUUCUUGGGAAUCCACACAGUGGCCUACUGCCUACUAUACAGCAGAGAAGCUCUAGCCUGGCAGACUAUUCCAUCCUGGCAGAGGACCUUCCAGUUCUGACAAAGCCCAGUCUUGCAGGCUCUGGCCUAAUACAAAGUCAAAGCCAAAGCUAGAGCCUGCCCUAGAGAUGGUCUCCCUUAGCCUCCUCCUGUGACAGGCAUGUACUGAGGCUCUGUGAUGGGGAAUGACUCAGACCCAGUCUCCUGACUUUUGGUUCAGUGCUCUUUCUGAGUCACUGAUCUUGCUGGCCUGAGAUGUUGGCCCCUUGUCCUGGGGAGGCAGACAGGGAAGGGGGAGAGUUGCAGACAUGAGUGGCUUUUCCGAGGACAAUCUGGUCAGCUACUCCACGGUAAGCUGGAGGGGAAGGUAGACCCUGUCGUUAUGCUUCCCCUGGUUAGAAACUGUGAAUUCCUUAGAAUUAAGUGCAAAGUCUUAUGUGUGUUACUACAUGAAUCCUCACAGAUAAACAUCCAUGUGGUCCCAGUGUUUCCAUGUCAACAAAAAUAAAACGUACUGGCUUGGAGAAGUAACACAAGAAGCAGUGGCUUUGACGCUUUUUUGCAGACAGCUACAUGCCAGGCUACUAGCCAAGGAUCACAAUGCCAUGUUUCUGUCUCACUCCCAGACUUGUCCAUAAGGGUGAGUUUCUUUCUCCUUCACAAGUUAUUGAGUAAGGGGAAUCAUACUUUGCUUGGGAAUGAAUAGAGUUGUUGGUCUUCUGGCUUAAAAGCCAAAACAAUUAAUAGAACAGAGAGCUCUCAAGAGAUCCAUGAUUCUUAGGGGACAUUCUCCACAUGAACACAUUGUCUCAUGGGCGCAAAU